UACGGGGGGAGCAAGCGUUGUUCGGAUUUACUGGGCGUAAAGGGCGCGUAGGCGGCGUAACAAGUCACUUGUGAAAUCUCCGGGCUUAACCCGGAGCGGCCAAGUGAUACUGUUGUGCUAGAGUGCGGAAGGGGCUACUGGAAUUCUCGGUGUAGCGGUGAAAUGCGUAGAGAUCGGGAGGAACACCAGCGGCGAAGGCGGCAAACUGGAUAGGCACUGACACUCAACAACGAAAGCGUGGGGAGCAAACAGG
rnacentral:rRNA from 1 species